AGUUUGAACAGUCUGGUAGGGUAACGUGGGGCAAAAAGCCCUUCGGGGUAAAAGGCCUUUCUUAAUUUUUGUGCGAAUGGCUUAUUGGAUGAUUCAAAUUAAGACUUCCUGAGAUAGCUUACUUCCGUUCUUUUAAUGCACAUUGAGCUUGAUGUAGUAGCUUUUCAAUUUAUCGUCACAGAUCACUUUGAAUUUUUCUACCUAUCUCACUAUAAGAUGUUCCUUCAGAGUUGAAGAUUAUUACUUCCUAGUCCAAACCUCCCGCAGGACGACAGGGGAUGGGAGCGGGCAGGGUUUAAACUCUGGACCACUGACAAAUCUGAACGACAGUCCAGCGCGCAAACCGCACGACCAAAAUAUCUAGUCUAGAUCUAGUAGAUCUAUUUCUAUAUAUGUUCCUUCAGAGUUGAAGAUUAUUACUUCCUAGUCCAAACCUCCCACAGGGCGACAGGGAAUGGGAGCGGGCAGGGUUUAAACCCUGGACCACUGACAAAUCUGAACGACAGUCCAGCACGCAAACCGCACGACCAAAAAAUGUUAAUAUAUUACCAGAGAAAAACACAAGGCUCGUAUGGUCAACAUUCUUGACAGAAGAUUUAAAAGCUAUCGCUGAUGGGAUGCCACUUAACAAUGUCUCCGAAAAAAUUACAUUUAUAAUUAUUAAAUAUUUCACUUAUACUUUUUAAA